rnacentral:tRNA from 1 species
GGGGGCAUAGCUCAAUUGGUAGAGCACGUGCUUUGCAAGCAUGAGGUCACCGGUUCGAUCCCGGUUGCCUCCACCA